AACGAACGCUGGCGGCAUGCCUAACACAUGCAAGUCGAACGCCUGUAGCAAUACAGGAUUGGCAGACGGGUGCAUAACACGUGGGAACCUACCCUUGGGUUCGGAAUAACCGCGGGACACUGCGGCUAAUACCGGAUACGUCCUAUGGGAGAAAGAUUCAUCGCCCUUGGAGGGGCCCGCGUCGGAUUAGCUAGUUGGUGAGGUAACGGCUCACCAAGGCGACGAUCCGUAGCUGAUCUGAGAGGAUGAUCAGCCACACUGGAACUGAGACACGGUCCAGACUCCUACGGGAGGCAGCAGUGGGGAAUAUUGGACAAUGGGGGCAACCCUGAUCCAGCAAUGCCGCGUGGGUGAUGAAGGCCUUCGGGUUGUAAAGCCCUUUUGGCAGGGACGAUGAUGACGGUACCUGCAGAAUAAGCCCCGGCUAACUUCGUGCCAGCCGCCGCAGUAA
rnacentral:rRNA from 1 species